AAAUGUGAAUGACGACUUCAAUCAAAUCGGGAGAUUCUGAUCCAUUUGUGAUUUGAAUGCUAGCUAGUGUUUUAAUCAUGAUGAAUUACUUGGGUUCAUUAGAGAUCAAUGGAGUAAACUACAUAUAAAAAUUCUAGGAACUAUAGUCUACAAAAGAGUCGGUGAUGAACUCGCAACACAGGAAUCAGAGGAUGAAGGGGGCUAACUGCUCAGGCAGGAGAUAUCGGUGCCGUAUAUGAUGUAAACAUGGAGGAAACAUUCAUCUGGGAACACAUAAACAAGGUACCUUCCAUUUAUAAUCCAUGACACAGCUGCAUCUGGUUUCUUGUUCAUUGUUACUCUCUGCACAGUUUCUGUUAAAUGGUUCCAUUCAAGAUUUCAGUUAUAAUUGAUAAAUGCUUGCUUCUACUUAGAAAUAAAGAUCUUAAAGAGAAAAUCAUAUAUCAGAAGAAAACAGCAAUCAACCUCUACCAUAAAAUUCAUUACUUCUCAAAUAUAGUGCAAAUCUUAAUCUAUAGACAAUUUUUUCUCCAAGCCAUCUUCCCUUUGUCUGAAGGAAAGGAUCACCACUUUGCGAUUUCAAAUCGAUAAAUUAGUGAAUCUGCAGUUAACAACCAUUUGCAUAUGCUCUUUGCCAGCAAUUACUCAUCAUCCAUUUGCAUAUUCUUCAUGGACUUGGUACGUGGUAGACCUUGUUUGGGAAAAACCAAAACAACAGAACAAAGGGAUU
rnacentral:lncRNA from 1 species